UACGUAGGGUGCGAGCGUUAAUCGGAAUUACUGGGCGUAAAGCGUGCGCAGGCGGUUAUAUAAGACAGAUGUGAAAUCCCCGGGCUCAACCUGGGAACUGCAUUUGUGACUGCAAGGCUAGAGUACGGCAGAGGGGGAUGGAAUUCCGCGUGUAGCAGUGAAAUGCGUAGAUAUGCGGAGGAACACCAAUGGCGAAGGCAAUCCCCUGGGCCUGUACUGACGCUCAUGCACGAAAGCGUGGGGAGCAAACAGG
rnacentral:rRNA from 1 species